rnacentral:rRNA from 1 species
AGCGAACGCUGGCGGCAUGCCUAACACAUGCAAGUCGCACGGGGGGGCUUCGGCCUCCCAGUGGCGGACGGGUGAGGAACGCGUAGGGACCUGUCGAGGGGUGGGGGAUAACCGCGGGAAACUGCGGCUAAUACCGCAUGACGCCGCGGCGUGACAGCCGGGGCCAAAGGCGAAAGCCGCCCGCCGAGGGGCCUGCGUCCGAUUAGCUGGUUGGCGGGGUAGCGGCCCACCAAGGCGUCGAUCGGUAGCUGGUCUGAGAGGGUGAUCAGCCACACCGGGACCGAGACACGGCCCGGACUCCUACGGGAGGCAGCAGUGGGGAAUAUUGGACAAUGGGCGCAAGCCUGAUCCAGCAAUGCCGCGUGGGUGAAGAAGGUCUUCGGAUUGUAAAGCCCUUUCGGCGGGGACGAUGGUGACGGUACCCGCAGAAGAAGCCCCGGCUAACUUCGUG